UCGUCGUCGGCGCGGGCCCGGUGGGGCUCGCGGCCGCGAUCGACCUCGCGCAGCAGGGCGUACCCGUCGUGCUGCUCGACGACGACGAC
rnacentral:tRNA from 1 species